AGAAGCUGUUUUCAAAGUAGCUGAGCAGAUUUCAUCUCAAACAAAGCCGAUGGCAGAAGAUGUUUGGAGAAGAACUUCAGGCCGUGGACUGAAAAGUAGAUCAAAGCAGCUCGUGCUCUGUCUGCUUCCAUU